CGAGACUCUCAGAGGUGAGGGUGAAGGUGGAGAAGGUAUAAAGAAAUAAUGCCAUUGAUACUUGGCUAUGGAAGAAUAAAGUAGGAUUAACAGACCUAUCCGGAGGGGAAGGGCAUGUCAAGUGGAGGGAACAGCAGUGGUGAAAAGAUGGAGAUAGGAGAGUUAGCAAGUGGGGGGAAAGUUCAUGGAAGUGAGGUGUAGUGGAGAGUGAGGGCACUGGGUAGAGAUAAGGGUGAAAUAUUACAGUGGGGCUGGUUGUGGAGGACCCUAGAUAUCAUGCUAUGAAAUAUGGAUUUUGGCCAGGCGUGAUGGCUCACACAUGUAAUCCCAGCACUUUGGGAGGCCGAGGCGGGUGGAUCACUUGAGCCCAGGAGUUCGAGACCUGCCUGGGCAAUAUAGCGAGACCCCGUUCUCCAGAAAAAGGAAAAAAAAAAAACAAAAACAAGAAAAACAGGAGGAAUUUAUUGAAUCUUUACUAA
rnacentral:lncRNA from 10 species